rnacentral:rRNA from 1 species
UACGGAGGGUGCGAGCGUUGUCCGGAAUCAUUGGGCGUAAAGGGCGCGUAGGUGGCCCGGUCAGCGUGCGGUGAAAGCUCGGGGCUCAACCCCGAGUCGGCCGUGCGAACUGCUGGGCUGGAGCACUGUAGAGGCAGGCGGAAUUCCGGGGUGUAGCGGUGGAAUGCGUAGAGAUCCGGAAGAACACCGGUGGCGAAGGCGGCCUGCUGGGCAGUGGCUGGACACUGAGGCGCGACAGCG